UACGGAGGGGGCAAGCGUUGUUCGGAAUUACUGGGCGUAAAGGGCGCGUAGGCGGCCACCGCAAGUCGACUGUGAAAUCUCCGGGCUUAACCCGGAAAGGUCAGCCGAUACUGCGGGGCUAGAGUGCAGAAGGGGCAACUGGAAUUCUCGGUGUAGCGGUGAAAUGCGUAGAUAUCGAGAGGAACACCUGCGGCGAAGGCGGGUUGCUGGGCUGACACUGACGCUGAGGCGCGAAAGCUGGGGGAGCGAACGGG
rnacentral:rRNA from 1 species